rnacentral:rRNA from 1 species
UACGUAGGGGGCAAGCGUUAUCCGGAUUUACUGGGUGUAAAGGGAGCGUAGACGGCCAUGCAAGCCAGGGGUGAAAGCCCGGGGCCCAACCCCGGGACUGCCCUUGGAACUGCAUGGCUGGAGUGCGGGAGGGGCAGGCGGAAUUCCUGGUGUAGCGGUGAAAUGCGUAGAUAUCAGGAGGAACACCGGCGGCGAAGGCGGCCUGCUGGACCGCGACUGACGUUGAGGCUCGAAAGCGUGGGGAGCGAACAGG